rnacentral:lncRNA from 1 species
GUGAGUUGCUGAUGAUUCUUUCAGACUGAAAGGAAUCAUAAUUCUUUCUAACUCUGCAAUCUUUUUGAUCAGUGGUUAGCUGCAGCAAACUGAAAGACACAGAGUGGAUAUCGCGGCAGGAUCCCUUCGUCUGCCUUGAAUACGCCACGACGAAGUUCCGCACCAGGACCUGCACAGGUACUUAGGAUCAAUUGUGUGUUGGUGAUUUCUUUGGGAGAUUUGUUUGAGAUUGAACAACAAUGUAUGCAGAUGGAGGCAGGAACCCUUGCUUUCAGGAAAAGACUAUGAUUCCCCUCAUCGAAGGCCUCCGCGAGAUCAGCGUCGGUGUCUGGAACAGCAACACCAUCACCUACGACGACUUCAUCGGCAGUGGCAGGUAAAUAAAUAUUCACUUUUCUACUGAACUUUCUUUUAAAAGGAAAACAGAAUCAAAACCUAAUUCAAUGUUUCAAUGUUCUAACCUCAGGGUCCAGCUGCAGAGGGUCCUCUCUCAAGGCUAUGAUGACUCUUCUUGGUCACUCCAAUCUAAAUCUGGAAAGUAAGACCUCCAAGCCUCUCAAAUCUAGCUAUCAUCCCAAUUCUUCUCUUGAUGCAUGACUGAUUCCCCUCGCUGCAAUCUCUCCUCCACAGGUACGCUGGCGAGGUAAAACUCAUCAUGCAUUAUGCAAAUGCAGGCAAAGCACAAGUAAUUCCUAUCUCUACUCGAACUAUAAUUUCAUGAUCAGUCAAUGCAUGCAGACAACAAACCUGAAGCCAUAAUUUCUUAUUGGCAGAAACCUUCCAAGGCUGAAGCUCCAAUGAUGGGCUAUGCACUGACUGCUCCUGUGUACAAUCCAGC